rnacentral:misc_RNA from 1 species
CCGAGGGAAGAAAACCUUCACCCCCCUGUCGACCGUGUACCAUGUUGCUUUCGGCGGGGACGCCCGCCGGGAGGGCUUCUGUUGUAACCGCUGUAUCUCCCACAAGAGUGCCGUCUGAGUCCCGAACGAGCAAAUAAAAAA